AGAAGAUAAAAGCAUCCCGUUGAGAAUCAAUCACCGGGCACCGGUAAAAAUGGAGUCCGAGCUCCAGAAAUUACCUCAACCCGAAACAACCCGACCAUCACAACCCGAAUCCAUUGAUGAAGGAUCCACUAAAGAUGAUCGUCCGCUUUUGAAACCCGACCCGACUAACCCUCAACUCCAAGUUCAAUCGCAGUCAUCUAGCCCUAGUAUUGAGGAAUUAGAGAAGAAGUACGCGCCAUACGUGAGGCAUGAUGUGUACGGGAUAAUGGGUCAGGGCGAACUGCCAUGGACAGAGAAGGUGCUUUUGGGUAUUGCAUUGGUGACGCUUGUUCCGAUGAGAGUUAUUGGGGCAACGACUGUUUUGGUGGUGUAUUAUUUGAUUUGUAAGAUUUGUACAGCGUUUUGGGCUCCGAAUCGCGAGGAUGAGCAGGAGGAUUUUGCACAUACGGGUGGGUGGAGAAGGACUGUUAUGAUGCAGAGUGGGAUGUUUCUUUCAAGAGUUAUGCUUUUCGUUUUUGGAUUCUAUUGGAUACAGGAAACUUAUCAGCCUAUUAAUCUCAAUGGCAACUCAAAUAAUGAGGAUGGAUCAAAACAGCAGGCUGAAGAACUUGAAAGACCAGGGGCAAUU
rnacentral:misc_RNA from 1 species